UACAGAGGGUGCAAGCGUUAAUCGGAAUUAUUGGGCGUAAAGCGUGCGUAGACGGUUAUGUAAGUCGGGUGUGAAAGCCCCGGGCUCAACCUGGGAAUUGCAUUCGAGACUGUGUAGCUAGGGUACGGAAGAGGGAAGCGGAAUUUCAGGUGUAGCGGUGAAAUGCGUAGAUAUCUGAAGGAACACCAGUGGCGAAAGCGGCUUCCUGGUCCAGUACCGACGUUCAGGCACGAAAGCGUGGGGAGCAAACAGG
rnacentral:rRNA from 1 species